GUGCUCACUUUGGCAACACAUACAGUAAAAUUGGAAUGAUAUAGAGAAGAUUAGAAUGGCCCUUGCACAAGGAUGACAUGCAAGUUCAUGAACAUUCUAUAUAUUUUU
ensembl:snRNA U6 U6 spliceosomal RNA